AUUGAACGCUGGCGGCAUGCCUUACACAUGCAAGUCGAACGGUAACAGGUCUUCGGAUGCUGACGAGUGGCGAACGGGUGAGUAAUACAUCGGAACGUGCCUAGUAGUGGGGGAUAACUACUCGAAAGAGUGGCUAAUACCGCAUGAGAUCUACGGAUGAAAGCAGGGGAUCGCAAGACCUUGUGCUACUAGAGCGGCCGAUGGCAGAUUAGGUAGUUGGUGGGAUAAAAGCUUACCAAGCCGACGAUCUGUAGCUGGGCUGAGAGGACGAUCAGCCACACUGGGACUGAGACACGGCCCAGACUCCUGCGGGAGGCAGCAGUGGGGAAUUUUGGACAAUGGGCGCAAGCCUGAUCCAGCAAUGCCGCGUGCAGGAUGAAGGCCUUCGGGUUGUAAACUGCUUUUGUACGGAACGAAAAGCCCUGGGUUAAUACCCUGGGGUCAUGACGGUACCGUAAGAAUAAGCACCGGCUAACUACGUGCCAGCCGCCGCGGUAAGAC
rnacentral:rRNA from 1 species